rnacentral:lncRNA from 1 species
CAGUGGUGAACCAAGAGGGCCAGCGAGCAAAAGGGGCACGGGCAGGGGCUGGCAAAGACCCUUCAUGGUUUACCCCAUCCACCCAGGUGUCGCCUGAAACCUACAAUGGAGAAUGGUCAUGUGGUACCUACGCACUUUCCACAAAGAGCUCUGAGAUGGUGAUGCCGUGUCCCAUAGAGUCACUGAGCUGCUCCCCGCCAGGCACAGCUCUGGGCUCAGGAGCCGCCAGAGUGGAGAAACCAUCCCACCUGCCUGGACCUUACCCUUUAGUCAGGGAGACAAGCAAUUAACAAGGUCCCUGGGGCUGCUAUGUGGAGAGCGGACUGGAGGGGGCCAGGUGGCAGCAGGGAGGCUGAGGGGGGCGUCUGCAGUGAUGACCCAGGUGGGACUGUGGCACCUGGAAGGAAGGUGACAGCAGUGGAGACAGUGACAGGUUCUGGAUUCAGGGGAUGAGACAAAUACUGCAGGCGUGCCCCCCAGCCCCCACUGUCCACGGCAGACAUCACUAAACGAUCGGGCGCUCUUCCCAACGAACCUGGAUACGGCUCAGGAUCACAGCUCUCUAGGACUAAGAGUGAUUGCAAAGAGGAGAGGAAGGGGGCCUGGCACUGAGGAAGCGCUCACGCUCAUGGAGGCUCAUCCUACUCCCAGCCCUGAGAGACCCUCCUUGACCGCCUGGCCCUGUCCCCCACCUUCAGAGGAGACAACUGUCUUCCAGAAGAAGGCGUCCGCCCAAAGCCGCAGGGAAAGACCAGCGGUGCCACCCGGGACCGGAAGAGCCCCCUCGCUCCCCCUCCCCACAGCUGAGCCUCUCCAGCAACAAAAUGGCUGCAGCAGUGCUGGGCAUCACAUCUGAGUAACCCAUUGCACAGAGGAGCCUUCUCUUCUCCCUAUAUGGACUGGAUGUCCUGGCCUCAUUUAGCCAAGUGCUCAUCCCUGAAUCAAUCACUGGACAAGAGGAAUGGGCUUCAGCCAAUGAGAGCCCACCCCGGGGAUGGAAUCAGAAUGUCUUCCCCAAAACCUGUGGCAAUGUCCUCUCCCUAGUAACACUCGUCCCACCUACCCCCACCCGAUUUUUCCCUGCUAAGAAAACUUUGAUGUGUCCCUAUGGCACUGGUGAUCCACUGAUCUUCGGGAGGGUAGGGCCCUACCUGAGCCCUUGGGGUGACUCUUGAUUGGUGGAAAGGCCAUGUGACCUUAUUCCUCG